GCUUCGGCUGCAAGAGGCAGACUUCAGCCGUGGCUCCCGCGCUCGCUCUGAGUCCCCGCGCUCGGCUAGGAUGGAAGAAAUCUGUCAGGGACCCUCCUUCUUGGCAGUAGUAACGUUUAAAAGGAAGACAUUUGCCAACUGUCUUGCCAAGAGCGGAAGCCUACAGAAGGCUGUUAGGAAUCAGGUGAGAAACUGCUAAUUUCCUCAUGGGUAGCAGUGCCCCUUUUACACCUUCACUGUUCCUCUUAACCUGUGUUCUGGGGUAGCUUCCAUCCUGUCAUGGGUGAAGUAUUACCCAUCUUCGUGGCCUUGCCCAAUACAGAACCUGAUACCCA
rnacentral:lncRNA from 1 species